rnacentral:rRNA from 1 species
AUACGUAGGUGACAAGCGUUAUCCGGAUUUACUGGGCGUAAAGGGCGUGUAGGCGGUCUUGCAAGUCAGAAGUGAAAUUCCUGAGCUCAACUCGGGCGCUGCUUCUGAAACUGCAGGACUUGAGUGCUGGAGGGGAUAGCGGAAUUCCUAGUGGAGCGGUAAAAUGCGCAGAUAUUAGGAAGAACACCGGUGGCGAAGGCGGUGGUCUGGGCAGUAACUGACGCUGAGGCACGAAAGCGUGGGGAGCAAACAGGAUUAUAUACCCUGGUAGUCCAGGCCGUAAACGAUGAAUACUAGGUGUAGGGCGUAUCGACUCCCUCUGUGCUGCAGUUAACGCAAUAAGUAUUCCGCCUGGGGAGUACGGCCGCAAGGUUGAAACUCAAAGGAAUUGACGGGG